rnacentral:rRNA from 1 species
AAUGCCGCGUGUGUGAAGAAGGCCUGCGGGUUGUAAAGCACUUUCAAUGGGGAGGAAGUGUAUUUGGUUAAGAGCUGGAUAUUAUUGACGUUACCCAUAGAAGAAGCACCGGCUAACUCCGUGCCAGCACCUGCGGUGACUGAGCGGGCUGGCAAGGCGCAUA